UGCAGAGGGGGCAAGCGUUGUUCGGAAUUACUGGGCGUAAAGGGCGCGUAGGCGGCCUUCUAAGUCGAACGUGAAAUCCCCGGGCUCAACCCGGGAACUGCGUCCGAGACUGGAAGGCUUGAAUCCGGGAGAGGGAAGUGGAAUUCCCGGUGUAGUGGUGAAAUGCGUAGAUAUCGGGAGGAACACCAGUGGCGAAGGCGACUUCCUGGCCUGUUCUUGACGCUGAGGCGCGAAAGCUAGGGUAGCAAACGGG
rnacentral:rRNA from 1 species